GGAUGUGAGGGCGAUCUGGCUGCGACAUCUGUCACCCCAUUGAUCGCCAGGGUUGAUUCGGCUGAUCUGGCUGGCUAGGCGGGUGUCCCCCUCCUCCCUCACCGAUCCAUGUGUGUCCCUCCCGAAGCUGCGAAGCUGCGCACUCGGUCGGUUGAAGAGGACGACCUUCCCCGCCGAGGAGAGGACCGGUCUUCGGUCAAGGGUAUACGAGUAGCUGCGCUCCCCAGCUAGAACCUCCAAACAAGCUCUCAAGAAACCUAGCUUUCAUUAUUUAAAAUAUACUUAAUGCUAGUACUAUGCAAAACAGUUUUAGAGUU
rnacentral:snRNA from 1 species